AUAUACAUCCAUCAUGUGUGUAGAUACGACGACUAUAUAGGGUCUGUCAUGAGUGCACUUUGUAUGCCCUGCAUGUGUGCACUCAGGAGGUCCUCCUGAGCGGUGUUUAGACGUACCGGGAAAAUCUUAUCUGAUUCAUCGGUUACACUCCCCUGUCACCAGUGAUUCUUUUUCGCUGACAUUCUGAAAAAGUAUUGUGUAGUCCCUGUGACAAGAAAUAUAUAUAGAAAAAUAAUGAAAAAUAUAAACAGUUUCAAUAGAAAUGAGCGACAAAACAAGAUAAACAGAAUACAACAAGGCCUAAAUGGUCAAAUAUCUUGGUUUUUAUGAUCAUCGUCAGGUCCUGCAAGUCUAUACUGAAGAGGAAACUUAUUUAUUAAUACUUUUCUACAUAAUGUGCUAAUUGGAUUAAUUAAUGUGAAAUGAACUCAAUUGUGUGUUUUUCUGGAAAAAGAAAUAGAAAAAAUUCUACAAAAUUGCUAUAAACAAAAUGGAGUACUAUCAAAGAUGCACAAGAACACAAUGGUGUAAAAUGUAACAACCUACAUAUUCACUGAUGGAUUAUGGAGAAAUUAAGAAAAAAAAUAGUAUCGUUGUCAUGUUUGUUGUUGAAAUAAACACAUGCGUUAUCCAUUCAUGUACAUAAUAUUAUGUACAUGGCUCUCCAUCAUAUCAAAUAUACAGAGAAGAUGUUUGAAGAACAAGUUGCCAAAAUUUAUUCAACCAAUUGAAGGAAGAUGUCUUGUGGAUGGAAUUAUUUAUGCACUGAACUGUUAUGUAGGGGUUAGAAUAAUUAUACACAGCAGCUGAAACAGAAGACAAGUUAAUUUGACAUGAAAAGUGUUUAUUUUAUUUAAUAUGCAAAUAUAAGCACAAUAUUAAUAACAUCACAAAUAGUAUGAUAUUCAGUGUUUUGCUUAUUAUUGUAUUGUCUUAAACAUGUUAAACAGUCAGCCUUUUGUUUUUGUAUGUUUAAUACUCACCAUGAAAAAUUGUAUUAAAGUUUAUAUUAAUAUCUUUUGUAUCAAUAAUUCAGUCUAGGAGAAAAUAUAUUUAUACUGUUUGUACUGUUAUGAAAUUUCCAUAGAGGAAAAACAUUUCCUUAAGGGAAAUUUGAUGUUCAGAAUUUUCCUAAGAGGAAAUUUGAAGAACAAUGAUUUCCUUAGAGGAAAUUUCCUCAAAGGAAAAUUUGAAGCGGCAAAUUUCCUCAAAAGAAAAAGAAUUUCCUCAAUGGAAAUAAUUAUGUAGCAAAUUCCCUAAGGGAAAUCUUUUUCCCUUGAGGAAAACUCUUUUUCCUCUAAGGAAAUUGUUGAAAAAAGGGGCAUAACUUUUUCAACAGUGGUGCUAGAGCCAAACAUUUUUAGGACAAAUAUCAGAGAACCAAUACCAAUCAAGUUAUCAACUUUAUUUUGACUUAACUCCAAAAAUUAAGGUGACAACUUUUGCACUCAGCUGAAUUGCAAACUUGUCCCAGAUACUGU